AUAUCACAACAGAAAGCAAUACACAAAACAAGAAAAAAAGCUGCCGCCAGAAAAACAGGUUUAUUUUUGCCAUGUAUCACAAAUUAAAACUGACUGUAAAAGCAAAAAGAAUUCAAAAAGAAAUGUGCAAAAUAAGUCUGUGCUGCUCAUACAGGUGUGGUUACACAGGAUCUCUCUGUCCCCACAUGACCCAGCUUUUCCUCAAGGUCCCAGCUUUUUGAAGACCACGAGUUGCUCCACUGAUGUUUGCAGGGGUUGUCCUGGGCAACCAGAUAAAACAAAGAGAUUUAAAGGGGCCUGCCCUGACUGUGCUAUAGUCUCCAAAAUCCCAAGGGAGGGAACUCUGCAGAGUGCCCUGCCCAUAGAGGAACACAGCCCGGGGGAGGAGAAUCCUGCACACUUUUAGCAAAUCCUUUGAUACAACUGCUUGUUGUAGCAAACAAACAAGACUACUACAAUUGUACUUUACACAGGCAUUGCGUGUUUUGCUUCAGACUAUGGAUUGUAGGGUUUUUUACUAUAAUAGAUAAUAUUAAUAUAAUUUAUGUUUUCUUAUGAUCUCAUUGGAUUUUUAUGUCCAAGAAGUGAUAGUGACAACAUUACUGAGUGAUUAUGAUUUAUUAUUUCAAUUAUGGUAGAAAACAGAGACCUCAUUCAAAAUUAGGCCCCCAUUGUGAUGCAGCUGUCCAAACAUAUAUUAAAAGACUGCAUCUGGACCAGAAGUCUGCAAAUUACUCCACUCAGAGCCAUGGGAAAAGACAGCACCACCCAUGGAGCAGACACAGGCAGGGAUGAACCCGGACUGUGCAUGCAUCGUCCAGGUUGUAACAAAAUCACAGGUUCUCCCAGUCAUAAGCAACACCUUUUCUCUCCAAAUGAGAUAGGUUACCAUCUCCUCCUAUUUUCUUUCUUAAAAGACCAUAUUGCAUAUUUUCCUGUUGCAUGAAGCAAGUUCUACAAUUCCUCUAUUACUAUUUUAUCUGUUCUUCUUUCUUCUGCACUUGCAUGUGCUCCAGUUCUCCCAGGUUCAUUUUCCUCUGUGUACCAUUUUCAAACCUCCUUCUCUUCUGUCUUGCAGUAUUUCUUUCCUUUACCAUGCUCUCCUCUCCGUGGCAGGGUGAAGCUUCCCUCUCCAAGGGGUCCUGCUGCUCUGCCUGAACCUCCUCCAGCCUUUCUCCUCCCUCGUCCCUUGAGAUCCCAGCUACCAUUGGAUCGCUGCUCUCCAACACCACUGGAACUUUCAGAAGUCUCUUGCUUCACCUGGCUAUCUAACCCUGAGAUUUGUGGAUGAAAAAGCACUGCGUAAAUGAUUUAGCUUUCUGGUUUAAAAGUGUGAGGAAAAGGCACUGCAGACACAUGUGAUUAAAGAACAUCUACUGAAACUCUCUGAGCCUGGAAUGACUCCUCAUUCAUGGCACGAGCAGUAAAAAGAAAUCAAAAAAAGACACUGAGAAGAAAUUGAAGCAUUGAAAGGCUCGAACUCUGGAAAUACCAGAAACUACUGGAAAAGAGGCAAGAACUUCAGUGUACAUCUGAAAGCAGCAGUAUCUUCUACAAAUAUGGAAUAAUCUGCAGAACAGUUACAAGCAAGUGACCAAAGUGCUGCCUGGCUGAUAUGAAGAGACUACACCCACUGAGCCCAAUGAUCGUGGGAGAUAAAGGCUGAGAACUGAGCAGCUGCACUUGCCCACUAAGGACGUCUGUAGUUUAUCUCGGAAAAAAACACGUCUACUCAGCAGGACGUUGAUCAUAAGACAGCACCUGCCACUUCCUAUGACUGAACAUGUAGUCACUAUCCAUAGAAAAUUUGAUAAAAUGCUCUCUUGUCAAGGGGCAAUACUGACGGCAAAAGCAUAGUACCAGUUUCUUUAAAUAAGUUUAAAACAUCAGGAAAAAACCCCACCUUGCAACUUUAGGGCUCUUGAGAGGUUUGUGGUGAACUGUAGUUAAAAAUCAAUAAGGAAAUAUAUAAAUCCCUUGCUUUUAUA